rnacentral:rRNA from 1 species
GAUGAACGCUGGCGGCGUGCCUAAUACAUGCAAGUCGAGCGAACAGAUGAGGAGCUUGCUCCUCUGACGUUAGCGGCGGACGGGUGAGUAACACGUGGAUAACCUACCUAUAAGACUGGGAUAACUUCGGGAAACCGGAGCUAAUACCGGAUAAUAUAUUGAACCGCAUGGUUCAAUAGUGAAAGACGGUUUUGCUGUCACUUAUAGAUGGAUCCGCGCCGCAUUAGCUAGUUGGUUAGGUAACGGCUUACCAAGGCAACGAUGCGUAGCCGACCUGAGAGGGUGAUCGGCCACACUGGAUCUGAGACACGGUCCAGACUCCUACGGGAGGCAGCAGUAGGGAAUCUUCCGCAAUGGGCGAAAGCCUGACGGAGCAACGCCGCGUGAGUGAUGAAGGUCUUCGGAUCGUAAAACUCUGUUAUUAGGGAAGAACAAAUGUGUAAGUAACUAUGCACGUCUUGACGGUACCUAAUCAGAAAGCCACGGCUAACUACGUG